AACGCACAUUGCGCUCCCUGGUAUUCCGGGGAGCAUGCCCGUUUCAGAAUCAUUGGGAAGUUUCAAGCAUUUGGAUGCUUUUUGCGAAGCGUUCGAAUAGCGUGGAUUUGGAAGUUUGCGAUUGCAAUCGUCCGAAAGACAUUGCGUGCGUGACCAACAGCUUUCUGUCUCUUGGCUUGCUGAGUGCAACAGACUUAAUUCUUUUUCACUCGCGACGAUCUUGAGAUGGGCGUUGGUCUUCGCAUGCGGUCACCCCGACCAAAACACGCAGUGGUCAAAUCAGGAAUGAUUUUGGCUUCUGGCAACUUGAUCUGAAAUCGGGCAAGAGAACCCGCUGAACUUAA
rnacentral:misc_RNA from 1 species